rnacentral:lncRNA from 1 species
CUCUUUUCUGUGAUCACCUUUUCUCUUUUUCCUCUUAUAGUCAAACAUGUUUUUUUUUUUCCUUUCUAUUCCUCAAAUUCCUUUUUACCACAAACCUGUUGAAAGAGCUGUCUACAUUAGCUGCAUCCAAUUUUUCAUCUCCAUUCAUACCUUACCCCAUUGCAUUCUGGCUUCUGACCCUAUCUUGGCCUGAAUCAAUUUAUGUCACUGUCACCAAUAACCUCCCCUUCUUUUUUCUUUCUUCCUUUCUUUCUCUAUUUUUUUUUUUAUUUUGUUGAGAUGGAGUCUUGCUCUGUCACCCAGGCUGGAGUGCAGUAGUGGCGCAAGCUCAGCUCAGUGCAACCUCCACUUCCCGGGUUCAAGAGAUUCUCCUGCUUCAAUUUCCCAAGUAGCUGGGAUUACAGAUCUCUCUUGUGGAAGCGGGGAGAGCCACUCCCAACUGUUCUUUGGAUAUUUCCGCCUAAAGCACCCAAGCCCUUCAAGCUCAACAGGUCCAGAGCUGAACUGCUGAUCUCCCGCCUCUCCCCAGCACCUGCUGCACGGCCUGAGUUCCAGGCAGUGGAGGCCAUCACAGGCACCCAACUCCAACCUCUCCCCUGGCCCCACAUCCAGUCUCCCACCAAGUCCUAAUAAUCCGAGUCCUAAAUAUCUGUGAAGUCACUCCCAUCUCUAACUCCACUGCCAAAAUCCACAUCCAGGUGGUCAUUGUCUCUUGCUUGGAUUAAGGCAAACACUUCCUAAUUAGUCUUCAACUCUCCCAUCUGCUCUCCACUCAGCACCCCAUGUGUCUAAGCCACAUACUUAUAUGCUUAAAACCCAUCCUGGUUCUGGCUGCCCUCAGGCCAACUCCAUGCUUUUUGAGUGGCUGUUAACCCCUCUGCAGCAAGUAGGGCUCCUCUCUUCCCUCACCAUUGUAGCCAUCCCGGUCGAGGUCGCCCA